GUUCAAAUAAUUUAUACGAUGUUGACACAACAUCGUGUUAACAUUGUAUACAUCGCGAUGUUAACGAUGUCAACGAUGUAAACAAUAUAUAAGGGUUGAAACAAUGUAUACGAUGUUGACAAAACAUCUCGUUAACAUUGUAUACAUCGCG
rnacentral:sRNA from 1 species